rnacentral:lncRNA from 1 species
AGCAUUUUAAUUUCAAUAAAAUAAUUUUACUGAUAUAAAUUAAUAAAACAAAAUUAUAACUUAUUAAUUAAGAGUGGUGCACGGGAGUGGGAGAUUUUGAAUUGCAUAGUAUAAGAUCAUUGUUAAAUUUGGCAAUGCUAUGAGACAAUGUGAAUGUUGUGUAGACAAUGCCAUUUCAGUUGCUAUCGAAUAGUAGUUGGGAACAGCACACUUUCAUGGUGAAAAAAAGGAAAGAAGAGAAGGCUGCUGUGAGGUCUGCAUGUGGGAACUGCUACAAGAGUGAUGCCUUUAGAUGCAUCACCCUUGUAGCAAAAAUGAUUGUUGUGAAGGUGCACGGCAUGAAUUUUGGCAUCAUUUUCAACUGCUCUAUCAUAAUAUGGUUCUGCUGGCCCACACUGUGAAGAAAUGGAUAGAAAGAUUUGAAGCAACA